UACGAGGGGGGCAAGUGUUGUUCGGAAUCACUGGGCGUAAAGGGUGCGUAGGUGGUCGGGUAAGUCUGAUGUGAAAUCUCCGGGCCUAACCCGGAAACUGCAUCGGAUACUAUUCGGCUGGAGGGUUGGAGGGGGGACUGGAAUACUUGGUGUAGCAGUGAAAUGCGUAGAUAUCAAGUGGAACACCAGUGGCGAAGGCGAGUCCCUGGACAACUCCUGACACUGAGGCACGAAAGCUAGGGGAGCAAACAGG
rnacentral:rRNA from 1 species